rnacentral:rRNA from 1 species
CACGUAGGGCGCAAGCGUUGUCCGGAAUUAUUGGGCGUAAAGAGCUCGUAGGCGGUCUGUUACGUCUGCUGUGAAAACCCGGGGCUUAACCCUGGGCUUGCAGUGGAUACGGGCAGACUAGAGGCAGGUAGAGGAGAAUGGAAUUCCCGGUGUAGCGGUGAAAUGCGCAGAUAUCAGGAAGAACACCCGUGGCGAAAGCGGCUCUCUGGGACGGUACUGACGCUGAGACGCGAAAGCGUGGGGAGCGAACAGG